rnacentral:rRNA from 1 species
UACGGGGGGUGCGAGCGUUGUCCGGAAUCACUGGGCGUAAAGGGCGCGUAGGUGGCUUGGCAAGCGCGUGGUGAAAGCCCGGGGCUCAACCCCGGGUCUGCCGUGCGAACUGCUAUGGCUUGAGCACUGUAGAGGCAGGUAGAAUUCCGGGUGUAGCGGUGGAAUGCGUAGAGAUCCGGAAGAAUACCGGUGGCGAAGGUGGCCUGCUGGGCAGUGGCUGACACUGAGGCGCGACAGCGUGGGGAGCAAACAGG